AUUGAACGCUGGCGGCAUGCUUUACACAUGCAAGUCGAACGGUAACAGGCCGCAAGGUGCUGACGAGUGGCGAACGGGUGAGUAAUGCAUCGGAACGUGCCCAGUCGUGGGGGAUAACGCAGCGAAAGCUGUGCUAAUACCGCAUACGAUCUAUGGAUGAAAGCGGGGGACCGUAAGGCCUCGCGCGAUUGGAGCGGCCGAUGUCAGAUUAGGUAGUUGGUGGGGUAAAGGCCUACCAAGCCGACGAUCUGUAGCUGGUCUGAGAGGACGACCAGCCACACUGGGACUGAGACACGGCCCAGACUCCUACGGGAGGCAGCAGUGGGGAAUUUUGGACAAUGGGCGCAAGCCUGAUCCAGCAAUGCCGCGUGCAGGAAGAAGGCCUUCGGGUUGUAAACUGCUUUUGUACGGAACGAAACGGCCUGGGUUAAUACCCUGGGCUAAUGACGGUACCGUAAGAAUAAGCACCGGCUAACUACGUGCCAGCCGCCGCCGUAACAC
rnacentral:rRNA from 1 species